UGCUAACUGUUAUUUUAUGAUAGGGCAACUGGUGCUGUGUACCCUUCUCGAAGAUAGUGAGUCUUCUUACUUGCACUCAAAUAAUGCUUUUAGUGUUUACUUUUAAUUUAUGGAUAUGUUAACAAAUUUGUCAUUGUAUGCUUCGGUUUGCAGCUCUUUAAUUCUUAGUUUUAAGAAUUUAUCCUCAUUAAAUUAAACUAUCCUUGCC
rnacentral:lncRNA from 1 species